UACGUAGGGUGCAGGCGUUAAUCGGAAUUACUGGGCGUAAAGGGCGCGUAGGCGGCCCGCUAAGUCGAACGUGAAAUCCCCGGGCUUAACCCGGGAACUGCGUCCGAUACUGGCAGGCUUGAAUCCGGGAGAGGGAUGUGGAAUUCCAGGUGUAGCGGUGAAAUUCGUAGAUAUCAGGAGGAACACCAGUGGCGAAAGCGGCUUCCUGGCCCGACAUUGACGCUCAUGUACGAAAGCGCGGGGAGCAAACAGGGAUUAAGAUACCCUG
rnacentral:rRNA from 1 species